GACGUAGGGCGCGAGCGUUGUCCGGAUUUAUUGGGCGUAAAGAGCUCGUAGGCGGCUUGUCGCGUCGUUCGUGAAAACCCACAGCUCAACUGUGGGCUUGCGGUCGAUACGGGCAGGCUAGAGUUCGGUAGGGGAGACUGGAAUUCCUGGUGUAGCGGUGAAAUGCGCAGAUAUCAGGAGGAACACCGGUGGCGAAGGCGGCAUCCUGGACCGACACUGACGCUGAGGAGCGAAAGCCAGGGGAGCAAACGGG
rnacentral:rRNA from 1 species